rnacentral:rRNA from 1 species
UACGUAGGGUGCGAGCGUUGUCCGGAAUUACUGGGCGUAAAGAGCUCGUAGGUGGUUUGUCGCGUUGUCCGUGAAAACUCACAACUCAAUUGUGGGCGUGCGGGCGAUACGGGCAGACUGGAGUACUGCAGGGGAGACUGGAAUUCCUGGUGUAGCGGUGGAAUGCGCAGAUAUCAGGAGGAACACCGGUGGCGAAGGCGGAUCUCUGGGCAGUAACUGACGCUGAGGCGCGAAAGCGUGGGGAGCGAACAGG